GUUUUUAUGGGUGUUUCCUGGUGUCACAGAGUUUCUCAACAAUAAAUGGGGAAAUGGAAGAUUUAAAGACGAGUAGAGUUAGUUUUAAACGAUCAACCAAAGAGGUUUGACCAAUACUAAAAUACUACUAUUGAGUUUUUAACCAAUAACUCUUCUUAUGACAUUUAUUAACAAGCGAAGAAUGGUAAACACACUCCAGUGACAGGUGCUUCUAAAUCAUUGAUGCUACUCUGUAGGUCGUUGGACUCAUCGGUAAAUAUUUGCAAUUGGGUUAAUCUUUUAUUGACCUCAGUGAACAUCAUUAGAGGUGUGUGGUUCCAAGGUCCUUGAGAGUGUAUGGACUGUACAUUACGGUAAAGAAAGUACACGGAGCUGAUGUUUGAGUUCCUGUAUAUCUGACCAAUCAGACGUACAGCACAUACCGUCAGAGAAUGUGGCCAUCCUGGAGCUGAGCGUGUCAUUCAAAGCUGCAGUAUCGGCCGCUGAUGCACUUCUUUGGUAAUGUUUGUUUGUUUUUCUUUCACAAUUGGCAGGAUCGGUUACCAAUAAGUAUAGCCUUGACCCUCCGUGCCACCCAAAACCACACCACAACACGCUGUCGAUGGCGUCGAGCAGUCUUUUUGAACAACAGUUAACCCAGUUUCAUCGACGUCCUGUUGAGAGACAGAGAGAAGGUCCUCAAGUCGCCAUCACCUUGGGGAACUCUAACAGCACUGCCCUUGGAGAUGCAAUCAGCUGCACACCGCUAUUUUAUUUACUAGGAGCUCAUUAGGGAGCUCAAUCUGUUGACUAUUCUGUGUGCACAUAAUUAUCUAAUCAGCUCGGUUGAUGCACUUGAUCGCACAUUUCUAAUAUGGCAUCAAUGAUUGCUGCGUUACUACUGUAAAUUCAACUUCGCUUCAAAUUACUGAAGCUUUGCUGACUUUCAGCGCUACGUCACAUGAUCAGUUUUGAAAUUGACUGUAGCAGCUUUGAUUAAAUCGUCAAAGAAACUCAAACGUCAUACUGUAUAAGAUGUAUAACUUCAUCUUCAGUGCAGUUUUCCUCCACGAUGGGACAUAUAGAACAUGAACUCACUUCAUG
rnacentral:lncRNA from 1 species